rnacentral:rRNA from 1 species
UACGAAGGGGGCUAGCGUUGUUCGGAAUUACUGGGCGUAAAGCGCACGUAGGCGGACUUGUAAGUUGGGGGUGAAAUCCCGGGGCUCAACCGCGGAAUUGCCUUCAAGACUGCAGGUCUGGAGGGCGGCAGAGGUGAGCGGAAUUCCGGGUGUAGAGGUGAAAUGCGUAGAUAUUCUGAGGAACACCAGUGGCGAAGGCGGCUCACUGGGUCUCUUCUGACGCUGAGGCACGAAAGCUAGGGGAGCAAACAGG